rnacentral:rRNA from 1 species
UGCGGAGGGGACUAGCGUUGUUCGGAAUUACUGGGCGUAAAGCGCACGUAGGCGGAUUUGUAAGUCAGGGGUGAAAUCCCGGGGCUCAACCUCGGAACUGCCUUUGAUACUGCAAAUCUCGAGUCCGGAAGAGGUGAGUGGAAUUCCUAGUGUAGAGGUGAAAUUCGUAGAUAUUAGGAAGAACACCAGUGGCGAAGGCGGCUCACUGGUCCGGUACUGACGCUGAGGUGCGAAAGCGUGGGGAGCAAACAGG